GAUGUUCACAGAUGAGGGAAGGAAUCAUAAUUGGCUAACAAGAGGAGAUACAUUUGACUAUGUUAAGAGAACUGGAGGGCCUUCAGAUAAGGUUCAAAUUGUCCAACAUGGUCUACAAAGCUCUCUACUGUUCCAGGAGCACUCAAGGGGGAAGGACAGGAAAUCCAGGUGCUGAUCAGAAACCCACAAAUAUCUGCCAGGCUGGCAACAGACCCUAAAGAGAGGAGCCUGGGAGGUAGGCAAUAUUAUCGCUAUGUUACUGAAGAUACAACUGAGGCGUAUCUCAAGCUACUUAUGCCAGCUCUUAUUGCCUGUGAGGAUCAAGCCAAAAUCAAACAGAUUAACAAAAAACAGUUGAGGAGCAAGCUAAAUUCCUACAGGCAAUAGUGGGACCAGAGCUCAUAGGCUGGCACCAAUAGUACAGUUUGGUCCCAAGGAGAAGCAGCAAGGCCAUGCAGGGAAUCACAUAAACAGGUCAGAUUUGUUUGAAGCAGUUUGACAGAGGAACAGACUAUAAAUUGUGGAAACCUGCCCACCUUUGUUUAUUCUUUGGCUGUGGAGGAACCAAGGAUAAAUAACUUGUAUACAAGCUCCUGGGAAUAAAGAAAAUUCUAACUAGCCUGAGACAUGGUCCUGACUUCUGCCAACAGAAACCUCCAGCAAUUGCUGGCUUAGGUAAAAAACAAAAACAAACAAACAAAAAACAAAACAAUACAAAAACCUCCUUUAAAGAUGAGUGUCCCAAAAGGAACUGAUAGAGGAUCUAAAAAUUAUGAUAAAGUAUUUUGCCCAAAUAAUAAUAAUAAAAAACUUAAAGCAAUCAUCUUGGUGAAAGAACACAAAAAAAUAGAACUCAAGGCGACAGGAGGAUCUGAGACAUGAUCUAUAGAACACAACAAAAAACUAAAUGGCAGAGAAAAUCCAUCACAGCAAAGAAGUUGAAACUGAAAGGAAGGCAAAUACGUUCAAAAGCUGAUUUUAAAAUAAAAUAAAAUAUUUAAACAGUUUUAAAAGGAAGCACAAAUGCACAAAGUAAGAAAUGAUUGAUAAGAAGUAGCACCAAAGGCAUAGAGGAAAUUUAAAUAAAUUACCUAGCUCAGUUUUAUACAAACUUGGAAACAUAAAUGAAAUGGAAAGUAUACUAGACAAUAUACUAGAAAUAUUAAACAGACCAGUUCCUAUAAAUGAAAUAAGAAAGCUAUUAAUAUCUUCCCUCUCCCACACACCAAAGGCAUAAAAUCCAGUUUCAGAAAUUCUACUACACCUUUACAGAACAGAAUUAAACUCAUUUAAACUCUUCCAGAGCGUGGGCGGAGUGGUGACGGUGGAAGGAAAGAAAACUACCAAACUCUUGGGAUAAUCUUUAUAUGAAACUGUACAUCAAAACCUGAUAAAGAUUGCACAGAAACAUAAAACUACAGAUGAAUUCCAUGUACUAAUAUGAUGCAAAAGUCCUAAAUAAAUUAAAACUAUAAACCAUUCUGACAAAGUGGGGUUUAUUCUAGGAAUAAAAAGAUGAUCCUUAGGAAACAUACUACCAUAUUUCACUAUAUUUAAGGAGGAAAGAAGACUAUCAGGUUUCUCCAUAGGUACUGAAGAAAGGCACUUUACAUUUUAGAAUUGCUUUUUUAAAAAAGGAAAAAAGAGAAGAGUCCA
rnacentral:lncRNA from 1 species